rfam:Trueperella pyogenes strain TP6375, complete genome.
CACAUGCUCCGGGGUCAGUGAAAAUCUGAACCGGCGGUGAAAGUCCGCGACCCGGCUCCCAGGAGCCGGUUGAUGGGGUGAAAUUCCCCAACCGACGGUAAAAGUCCGGAUGGGAGGAGCACUUA